AUGCAAGUCGAACGGUGAAGGCGGAGCUUGCUCUGCCGGAUCAGUGGCGAACGGGUGAGUAACACGUGGGCAACCUGCCCUUCACUCUGGGAUAACCCCGGGAAACCGGGGCUAAUACCGGAUACGACCCCUGCAGGCAUCUGCGGGGGUGGAAAGUUUUUCGGUGAAGGAUGGGCCCGCGGCCUAUCAGCUUGUUGGUGAGGUAGUGGCUCACCAAGGCGACGACGGGUAGCCGGCCUGAGAGGGCGACCGGCCACACUGGGACUGAGACACGGCCCAGACUCC
rnacentral:rRNA from 2 species